AUGACUACUGGUUUAGUGGGAGUGAUCCCAGGAAGCAUGGGCGCAAAGAAUAAUGAAAGACGUGAAGCAGGGAGAGAGGGAGAGCCACCUACAGCUACAGCUGCCACCACGGCAACUGGUAAUGCUGGGAAACAGCAUGGACACAAGCUGAUGGUCGUGCACCUAAAGGCUGACGCCCUCAGCCUUUUGAGCGAAACCAUCUUGGUUUUGAACCCUCCGGUACGUUUCCCGGGCAGCCUGUGUCAGACAGCCCCGAAUUUGGAAGUGAGUGCUCCCUUCAGAUCUUUGCUUUGGGGUGGUGUCAUAAACAAAUCUGGGUUGUGUUCUCACGCUCACCACCAUCUCCUCCAAACCUUUGAUGUAUUUAUGUCCAAGUUCAAGGAUUAUAUGAGAAGCUGUGAACAUUUACCUCUUGGAUCCAUGGCAGAGAGGCUGGGGCUGGGCCUUUAGCUACCAGCUGUGUGAAUGGCCCUGAUGGGUCUCAGCUAGACUCUUCCUCUGGGACUCUCUCUAUCACAAGCACCCCAGACGUAGUAGAGGAAGUGACAGAGUCCCCCGUUAUGUUCCUGCAAGGGACCACGCUUGGCAGAUGUGGGGGUCCCAGCAAGAAGUGGGGAUUGGAGAGAGAGCGAUAACAAUGGCAAUAACCCCGCGUGAAAACACUGCGUUUGCUUCUCAAACAACCUAGACCGGCAUUCACGGCCUGCUUGCACACUCCUCUGUCUGUGGAGCCACUUUCUUCUGUCUGGGCACACAGCUGAGCACCCUUCUGUCUGGAGGCAGAUGGUCUGCAGGUUUCACUGUGCAGCCGCCACCUCUCUGAGAACGUUUGAACCUGCUCCUAUUGGCUUGAAAGGUAAUCUGUUUUAUACGCGCAUUUUCCUCUAGCUUUGUGUACAUAAGCCUCAGAGGACAAGCACUUACAUGCCCUCCUAAUCUUUUCAUAACGGAUGGCUGUGGUGAGACACAUUUUUCCCCUGCACCUCGUCCCCCUACCUUACAUGUGGAGAUGUUGCAAUUAAAUACAUUUUGUUUGCAGUAUCUCGGGCCUGCCAACACACACACACACGUGUGUGUGUGUGUGUGUGUGUGCAGGGGAGGUGUGUGAGUGGGGCCUGACAGCAAGGCUGAUUUGCUAUCUGAAGGGAUGGAUCUGUACAGACAGAGAUGUCAGUCUAGGAAUAUGAGCCUCAGGACGCGUGGGGAUCACUUUAACUCCUCACACUGACCCAGAGCUGUGGUUCGCAGGCCAGCGUCACACACGGUGUAACAUUUGGUGUCACGGAGACUCUUUCUCCGGGAUGGCACAUUCAUCCCCACCACAGUUCAUCCUCUCUCCCUUUCCCCACCUCUCUUCUCUUCUUUAAAAACAGUUGUGUCAUUUAGUUGAAAGCUGGCCAGCCAACAAGGUGGCUAGGUGAUAGAUAGAUGAGGUAGAAUCUCCCAUCUA
rnacentral:lncRNA from 1 species